rnacentral:rRNA from 1 species
GAUGAACGCUAGCGGCGUGCCUAAUACAUGCAAGUCGAGCGAACAGACGAGGAGCUUGCUCCUCUGGCGUUAGCGGCGGACGGGUGAGUAACACGUGGAUAACCUACCUAUAAGACUGGGAUAACUUCGGGAAACCGGAGCUAAUACCGGAUAAUAUAUUGAACCGCAUGGUUCAAUAGUGAAAGACGGUUUUGCUGUCACUUAUAGAUGGAUCCGCGCCGCAUUAGCUAGUUGGUAAGGUAACGGCUUACCAAGGCGACGAUGCGUAGCCGACCUGAGAGGGUGAUCGGCCACACUGGAACUGAGACACGGUCCAGACUCCUACGGGAGGCAGCAGUAGGGAAUCUUCCGCAAUGGGCGAAAGCCUGACGGAGCAACGCCGCGUGAGUGAUGAAGGUCUUCGGAUCGUAAAACUCUGUUAUUAGGGAAGAACAAAUGUGUAAGUAACUAUGCACGUCUUGACGGUACCUAAUCAGAAAGCCACGGCUAACUACGUG